rnacentral:rRNA from 1 species
AUUGAACGCUGGCGGCAUGCCUUACACAUGCAAGUCGAACGGCAGCACGGGAGCAAUCCUGGUGGCGAGUGGCGAACGGGUGAGUAAAGUAUCGGAACGUGCCCAGUCGUGGGGGAUAACGUAGCGAAAGCUACGCUAAUACCGCAUACGAUCUAUGGAUGAAAGCGGGGGAUCGCAAGACCUCGCGCGAUUGGAGCGGCCGAUAUCAGAUUAGGUAGUUGGUGGGGUAAAGGCCCACCAAGCCGACGAUCUGUAGCUGGUCUGAGAGGACGACCAGCCACACUGGGACUGAGACACGGCCCAGACGCCUACGGGAGGCAGCAGUGGGGAAUUUUGGACAAUGGGCGCAAGCCUGAUCCAGCAAUGCCGCGUGCAGGAUGAAGGCCUUCGGGUUGUAAACUGCUUUUGUACGGAACGAAAAGGCUCUCACUAAUACUGGGGGCUCAUGACGGUACCGUAAGAAUAAGCACCGGCUAACUACGUGCCAGCCGCCGCGGUAA